rnacentral:rRNA from 1 species
AUCAACUUUCGAUGGUAGGAUAGAGGCCUACCAUGGUGGUGACGGGUAACGGGGUGUUAGGGCACGACACCGGAGAGGGAGCCUGAGAAACGGCUACCACAUCCAAGGAUGGCAGCAGGCGCGCAAAUUACCCAAUCCCGACACGGGGAGGUAGUGACAAUAAAUAACAAUACGGGGUUCUUUCGGAUUUCGUAAUUGGAAUGAGUACAAUUUAAAUCUCUUAACGAGGAACAAUUGGAGGGCAAGUCUGGUGCCAGCAGCCGCGGUAAUUCCAGCUCCAAUAGCGUAUAUUAAAGUUGCUGCAGUUAAAAAGCUCGUAGUUGAAUUUCGGGACCAAUAUGUCGGUCGUGCCUCGGUACGUACUGGCAUCGUUGGUUUCUCCCUUCUGACGAACCAUGAUGUCAUUUAUUUGGUGUCGUGGGGAAUCAGGACUGUUACUUUGAAAAAAUUAGAGUGUUUAAAGCAGGCUCACGCUUGAAUACAUUAGCAUGGAAUAAUGAAAUAGGACGUUUGAUUCUAUUUUGUUGGUUUCUAGGAUCGACGUAAUGAUUAAUAGGGAUAGUUGGGGGCAUUAGUAUUCAAUUGUCAGAGGUGAAAUUCUUGGAUUUAUUGAAGACUAACUACUGCGAAAGCAUUUGCCAAGGAUGUUUUCAUUAAUCAAGAACGAAAGUUAGGGGAUCGAAGACGAUCAGAUACCGUCGUAGUCUUAACCAUAAACUAUGCCGACUAGGGAUCGGAUGAUGUUAAUUUUUUAAUGACUCAUUCGGCGCCUUACGGGAAACCAAAGUGUUUGGGUUC